UUUAUUUUUGUUACAAAAUAUUGUUCCUCAUGUUUUUCUCAACCCCCUUUUCCCCCUAUGCUUCUGAAGCUUCUUUCUUAUUUUAUGUGCCUUUCAGACCGUGAAUUUUUUUUCUCCUCUUUUAAUUUCACAGGUACCUCCAGUGGUUGAUUGAAGAUCAGGACUGUGAUGAUACUCAAUUCCAUACAUUAUAUGCUCUAUCACUUGCCAAAUCAGCAAUUGAAGCCUUUCAAACUGAAAAUACUUAUCAAAACAGUGACAUUGGAAGGGUAGAUGAGACAGUAAUUUCUGAUAAUAGAAUGAACUCGAUCUUUGAAAGUCCUCUUCGAGAAAGACUGCAGAUAUUUUUGUCGUCUUCAGACUUGUAUGAUCCAGAGGAAGUUCUUUACUUGAUCGAAGGAUCGGAGUUAUGGUUGGAAAAGGUCCAUUGGAACUCUUAUAAUUACUUUGUUGUUGGUUCUGCCUAUUGACUUGGCUGACUCUUCUGAUUAUGUACUAUUCAGAUCGUUUACUGCCUAAUGAUUUGCAUCAUUUCUUUCAAACUGUUGUUAGGCAAUUCUUUACAGUAAACUGGGUCAAGAGGCAUUAGUGCUCCAAAUUUUGGCAUUAAUCAGUACUGAAGAAAAUGAAGAGGAAGUGACUGAAAAUGAAGAACGGGUUCUGCUUCUACUUCUGCCAGUACUGAAGAAAGUAUUGAACUUUCACCAGCAAGAGCAAGACCUCAAAGGGUGAACCGUGCACAAACAAGACUCAUGUGUUCAUUUCUCCAAGCAAGUUGAGGAUGAAGCUCAUAGGGCCUCACCAUCUUAGAAAGAAGGAUGGAUCAAACAGUAACUCUUCUAAACACAAUUUGGUUUGCUGACGAAGGUAGUGCAUAAGCCAUGGUUCUUGAUAGCAUUCUAUCUUCUCCUCAUCGUAGGUCACCAUCAUUCAGGAAGCAAUUCUCGCGGGAUGAUUCAUUAAGCUGGCCAACACUCCUUCAAAGGCACCGCUUCCUCUUAAUAGCUCUAAUUCUCCUAGCUUUCCUAUGCACUGUGUAUCUUUAUUUUGCUGUCACUUUAGGUGCUUCUGGAUCAUGUUCUGAUUUAAAGGGUGCUCAGAAAGCGUCGGGUUUGGAUGCAAAAGCUUCUGUGGGCAAUGGAAAAUUGAAAUUCCUUUGACAUGUAGAUGAUAAUUAUAGUUGGAAAGCAUUUCCGUCCUUGGUUCUUUUCGAUUCUAAGGAGAUUGAAUUUAACCAUACUUUUAAAAUUGCAAUAGGUUGCUUGCUGUUUUUGAACUCAAUUGUCCUGAAUCUUAUAUAUGAGAAAUGUAACAAAAAUUUCAUUUGGA